rnacentral:rRNA from 1 species
GAAUUGAGUGGAUCAUUA